AUUGAACGCUGGCGGCAGGCUUAACACAUGCAAGUCGAACGAGUGGCGGACGGGUGAGUAAUGCUUGGGAAUCUAGCUUAUGGAGGGGGAUAACUACGGGAAACUGUAGCUAAUACCGCUUAACAUAGGAUCAGCCCACGUGGGAUUAGGUAGUUGGUGAGGUAAAGGCUCACCAAGACGACGAUCUCUAGCUGGUCUGAGAGGAUGACCAGCCACACUGGGACUGAGACACGGCCCAGACUCCUACGGGAGGCAGCAGUGGGGAAUAUUGCGCAAUGGGCGCAACCUGACGCAGCAAUGCCGCAUGAAUGAAGAAGGCUUUCGGGUUGUAAAGUUCUUUCGGUAGCGAGGCGUUAACUACAGAAGAAGCACCGGCUAACUACGUGCCAGCAGCCGCGGUAAUUC
rnacentral:rRNA from 1 species